rnacentral:rRNA from 1 species
CCUACGGGAGGCAGCAGUGGGGAAUUGUUCGCAAUGGGCGCAAGCCUGACGACGCAACGCCGCGUGGAGGAUGAAGACCUUCGGGUCGUAAACUCCUUUCGAUCGAGACGAAUGUUUUCAGGGUGAACAAUCCGGAAAAGUGACGGUACCGAGAGAAGAAGCCCCGGCUAACUCUGUGCCAGCAGCCGCGGUAAUACAGGGGGGGCAAGCGUUGUUCGGAAUUACUGGGCGUAAAGGGCUUGUAGGUGGCCAACUAAGUCAGACGUGAAAUCCCUCAGCUUAACUGGGGAACUGCGUCUGAUACUGGAUGGCUUGAGUUUGGGAGAGGGAUGCGGAAUUCCAGGUGUAGCGGUGAAAUGCGUAGAUAUCUGGAGGAACACCGGUGGCGAAGGCGGCAUCCUGGACCAACACUGACACUGAGGAGCGAAAGCCAGGGGAGCAAACGGGAUUAGAUACCCCGGUAGUCCUGGCCCUAAACGAUGAAUGCUUGGUGUGGCGGGUAUCGAUCCCUGCCGUGCCGAAGCUAACGCAUUAAGCAUUCCGCCUGGGGAGUACGGUCGCGAGCGNGAACGACAANAGAAGUUAGACGGCGUGAGACGUAGCCGAACGGACGACGACGAGGGAGGAGGG